rnacentral:rRNA from 1 species
GUGUCAGCAGCCGCGGUAAUACGGGGGGAGCAAGCGUUACUCGGAAUUAUUGGGCGUAAAGGGCGCGUAGGCGAUCCUGUAAGUCUCGUGUGAAAUCCCAGGGCUUAACCCUGGAAUGGCAUGAGAAACUGCGGGAUUUGAGUUCCGGAGAGGAGGGCAGAAUUCCCGGUGUAGCGGUGAAAUGCGUAGAUAUCGGGAGGAAUACCAGUGGCGAAGGCGGCCUUCUGGACGGAUACUGACGCUGAGGCGCGAAAGCCAGGGGAGCAAACGGGAUUAGAUACCCUAGUAGUCC